rnacentral:rRNA from 1 species
UACGGGGGGAGCAAGCGUUGUCCGGAAUUACUGGGCGUAAAGGGCGUGUAGGCGGUAUUGUAAGUCAGAUGUAAAAGGUUACGGCUUAACCGUAGAGUGUCAUUUGAAACUGCAGUACUUGAGUACGAGAGAGGGUAGUGGAAUUCCCAGUGUAGCGGUGAAAUGCGUAGAUAUUGGGAAGAACACCAGUAGCGAAGGCGGCUACCUGGCUCGUAACCGACGCUGAUGCGCGAAAGCGUGGGGAGCGAACAGGAUUAGAUACCCUGGUAGUCCACGCCUUAAACGAUGAGCACUAGGUGUUGGUCCCGACGUGUCGGGAUCGGUGCCGCAGCAAACGCAUUAAGUGCUCCGCCUGGGGAGUACGAUCGCAAGGUUGAAACUCAAAGGAAUUGACGGGGGCCCGCACAAGCGGUGGAGCAUGUGGUUUAAUUCGAUGCAACGCGAAGAACCUUACCGGGGUUUGACAUGAUAGUGAAGAAUGCAGAGAUGUAUUUGCCUUUCGGGGCGCUAUUACAGGUGCUGCAUGGCUGUCGUCAGCUCGUGUCGUGAGAUGUUGGGUUAAGUCCCGCAACGAGCGCAACCCUUGCCCCUAGUUGCCAGCAAGUAAUGUUGGGGACUCUAGGGGGACAGUCGGCGAUAAGCCGGAGGAAGGUGGGGAUGACGUCAAGUCCUCAUGGCCCUUACAUCCCGGGCUACACACGUGCUACAAUGGCCGGUACAACGGGUAGCGAUACUGCGAAGUGGAGCCAAUCCCUAAAAACCGGUCUCAGUUCGGAUUGCAGUCUGCAACUCGACUGCAUGAAGUCGGAAUCGCUAGUAAUCGCGGAUCAGCUCGCCGCGGUGAAUACGUUUCCGGGCCU